CGCAUAAAAGUAUAACAUCCGGACCUGGGCAGCCACCAGGAAACCUGCAGAUGCUGCUGAACAGGAGCAGGGGCUUGAGGUGAUGACUCCAUCAGUCAUUCCCAGACACCAGGACCCUGAAGGUCUCUGCUUGGAAUCUGCUGUAUCGUGUAAUUUUAUUUGGGAGACACAGAAGCUGUGAUUUAAUGCUCUGACAACAAACACCAAACUCAGAAGAGGAGGAGAGGGCCGGGAAGUGCACUCUGCAGAGACUACACAAUGUGUUGGAGAAGUGGGUCAGUGGCCAUCACUUGCCUGGCGUUUGCAGAGGACCCUUCCACAGCACCAUGAGAACAAGUCAGAGUUGAAGCGGUCCAGCCUGGGUUUGUCCAGGAAGAUCCACCAUUGCACAUUGGUUUAACCUCCCAGGUACCUCCCCACUUCCCUCUCGGAUCCUUUCUUUCUCUCCUUUCUUCUUCUCUUCUCUUCUCUCUCUCCCUCCCUCACUCUCUCUCUCUGGUUUGGUCCUGUGUCCUGGCUGCCACCACCCACUUCUAAAUGCCUUUCAUCCCUGGCAUCCAAUCAAUAAAAAUUUACAGCAUGAGCAAAGCUAUUCCGAUCUUGGCUUGGCCACCCUGGGGUCUGUGCUACCAUUUCCUCUACUUUCUGAAUGUUUAAAAACAAUAUUUUUUUUUUCAUUAAACAUACCGCGAAGGUCCCUGCGGGAAGAGGCCCGGCAAACCCCUAACCGUCUCUUGGGUGGCUGGAGCAGGCGGCUCAGGCCCAGCUCUGCAUGAGAGGUGGAGGGCAGGGUCUCGGAGGUGGUUUAUGGCUAAUCACACCCAGUGGGAUGCGCCUGGCAGGCAGCCCAGAACGUGCCCAUGCGCGGCAGACAGAUGU